rnacentral:rRNA from 1 species
GAUGAACGCUGGCGGCGUGCCUAAUACAUGCAAGUCGAGCGAACAGACGAGGAGCUUGCUCCUCUGACGUUAGCGGCGGACGGGUGAGUAACACGUGGAUAACCUACCUAUAAGACUGGGAUAACUUCGGGAAACCGGAGCUAAUACCGGAUAAUAUAUUGAACCGCAUGGUUCAAUAGUGAAAGACGGUUUUGCUGUCACUUAUAGAUGGAUCCGCGCCGCAUUAGCUAGUUGGUAAGGUAACGGCUUACCAAGGCAACGAUGCGUAGCCGACCUGAGGGGGUGAUCGGCCACACUGGAACUGAGACACGGUCCAGACUCCUACGGGAGGCAGCAGUAGGGAAUCUUCCGCAAUGGGCGAAAGCCUGACGGAGCAACGCCGCGUGAGUGAUGAAGGUCUUCGGAUCGUAAAACUCUGUUAUUAGGGAAGAACAAAUGUGUAAGUAACUAUGCACGUCUUGACGGUACCUAAUUAGAAAGCCACGGCUAACUACGUG